CACGCAGGCGGUCAUGUCAGUUUCUAGUGACAGGUGAGGGCUCAACUCUCGCAGGCCUGGAAAGACGGCAUGACUUGAGGACUUUAGAGGGACGCGGAAUUCCAGGUGGAGCGGUGAAAUGCGUAGAGAUCUGGAAGAACACCAAAGGCGAAGGCAGCGUUCUGGGAAGUUUCUGACGCUCAGGUGCGAAAGCUAGGGGAGCGAACG
rnacentral:rRNA from 1 species